rnacentral:rRNA from 1 species
AUGCGGGAAGGGCCGGACGCGCCGGGCUCAAAUACAGCAGACUCCGGCGCCACCGCGCACGCACGCACGCACGCGGAGCGGGGGCCCUGUCCAAAGCGCGUGAUCCAUUUCCUCCUCGCUUCCUUCUCUCUCGGUCUCGGUGCGUGCGUCACUCCGUCGGCCCGUCCCCCUCACCGGCGACUUGUCGCCUCGCGGCCACUCCCAGCCCCAGCGUGGGCGCGUGUGUUGCGAGCCAUGGCCGGCGAGAAGAGGAUGUUCGGCUUCGAGGAGGUCGCCAAGCACAACGUCGCCAAGGACUGCUGGCUCGUCAUCGCCGGCAAGGUGUAUGAUGUCACCCCUUUCAUGGAUGAGCAUCCUGGUGGAGAUGAGGUACUGCUGGCAGUAACCGGGAAAGAUGCAACCAGCGAUUUCGAAGAUAUCGGACACAGUGAUUCCGCAAGGGAGAUGAUGGAGAAGUACCACAUCGGGGAGAUUGAUGCUUCAACCAUCCCAGCAAAGCGUACAUUUGUACCUCCUCAGCAAGGGUCCCAUGUCCAGGCCAAGGAUAGCGACCUCCUCAUCAAGAUCCUGCAGUUUCUUGUUCCCAUUUUAAUCUUGGGGCUUGCAUUUGGUGUCCGGCACUACAGCAAAUCUGAGUAG